GUUUGCUUCCAGACUGGGAUGCUGGGAAGGAUUCUCCAUUAGCCUGGCGCUCUGAAGUUGUGAAGCCCUCUGGGCAUUCUGCAGAUGUGUCUGCAGGGACGCCUUCAACAACUCCUACCUUGGAUGCUGCACAAAAGCCCAGCUCCCAUCACAGGGGUCCUCCACCAGAAGAGAUCAAAGACAUGGCAGGCAAGAAGUUCCAGAAUCCAUUAGAAAUUACGUGGCAAAUGCUGAAGGAAGUGCUGCAGGGAGGACAA